UACAGAGACCUCAAGCGUUAUCCGGAAUCAUUGGGCGUAAAGCGUACCGAUAGGUGGUUUUGGUAGUUUUGGGUAAAAGCCGGAAGCUCAACUUCCGCGUUUGCUCAAAAUACUCCAAGACUUGAGGGACAAAGAGGUGGCUGGAACGAAUGGUGUAGUAGUGAAAUGCGUUGAUAUCAUUCGGAACACCGAAAGCGAAGGCAGGCCACUGGGUGUCACCUGACACUGCUAGGACGAAAGCGUGGGGAGCGAAUGGG
rnacentral:rRNA from 1 species